rnacentral:lncRNA from 1 species
UUUUGCCAGGUAAAAUUCAUUGAGGACAAUCCCUUCACAAUCUAGAACUGGAAGAUUGGAUUUUCUGAAAACAUCGGAGAAAGACUGUCCUUGCCAUCCACACUACAGCAAAUCUUUGGAGACUUGAACUUUGGGUUCAUAAUCUCACAACUGAGAAGGGUCCCACCACACUCCUGGAACUGUGCACCCAUUGGAAACCUUAAGUUACAUAAUGCAUCUGGGAGUAUGAAUACAGCUAGGUUUGACAUGGGCAUGGACAAUGCCUUGCAACGGAAGAAAUUCAACAUAUGAAACAGAAGUAAAGCAGAGCUUCUCUGGCUGAAGGAGGAGGAUUAAAGGUAUCAAGAGGAAGGGUUGAGGGCCACCUGCCAGCCCCUACUCAUUGGUCCUUAGUGGCUCAGGGCUCUGUACUCAUUGCUCUUCAUCCCACUGCUGUGUGCUAUUGUCUUUGUGAUCUUCAUGAUUGGAUUUUGCUUCUUCAAGGAAGAUAUAAAAGAGCCCAAGUAAUUCUGGAAACCAGCAUUUUACCCUUGACCUCCUGCUUUUCAUCCUACUGGUCCUCGCCAGAAGUCGCUGGUUGCCUGGUAUAAGAAAACAAUCAUAAUUAUCUCAUUAAUACUUGGACCUGGCCUCCCUGCUAAUCAGGUUUGUACUGCUGAGAUUUCAAAGGAGAACAGAAAUCUACUAAGAAGAAAUAAAUUGGUUCUCAGGCUAUAAAUAGUUCUAGGAAGCUGCCCAGGGACAAAAAUUUGCCUGCUGGUGAAAUAAAAGACCAUGUAAACUGUAGAUUUAUUUGGAGAGUAUAGUUCCAUGAAUUUAACUGGUCUAGACUCUGGGCCUCUGGAAGGCAGAGACCAUGCUCUCAGCCUUGCCUUUAGUACCUUGUCUGUAACAGGCUAUCAGAUAUGUUGAUUGUGUCAAAGAUAAGCAAAUUCUGAAAUGAGUAAUUUUUUUCAUUCUCUAUCCUCUCUGAAUUCACUUAGUGCCUCUCAGAAUGUGUCUGAGUGGAAAGGGAUUUGCACAGGAUAUGUCCAAACAGGUUAUUGUAACUUUGGAGGUAAACUCUUGUCUAUCAUUCCAUGCACUUCAUUAUUAUUUAUAUCCAUUUCUUUCUUUCUUUCUUUGUUUAUUUAUUUAAGUAAUUGGUCAUGAAAUAGACUUGCAUGCUGAAUACUGAAAUGUGGUGUUUGACACUUGUAAAUUAUUCCAGAUUAUAUAUGAGACUAUAAUAGAUAAAAGUGAUUUAGAUAAUAAAGUGAUCUGUAAUUGAAGUAAAUGAGAGCUGGGUGCUGUGGCUAAUGCCUUGUACUCCCAGCACUUUGGAAGGCUGAGGCAGUAGGAUCGCUUGG